ensembl:lncRNA
AGUGAAACAAUAAAUCAACAUCUAAACCUUAGUUAAUUCUCAAUAACUAAUUCACAAUUAUCACUGAAUUAAUCACUCAAUUACUUAAUUGCAAUGUAUAGCUUCUUUUUCUGAACUCAACUGAAGUUCAGAGUACUCAUAACUGUUAGUUUUAAAACUUAAAUGGUUUAAGGCAAUCGGUUGCCUCAAACGGUUUGAGUUAACAUAACUUGUCAGGUUUUUAAGGAUAUCUGUUUACUCAAACGGUUUGAGUUAAGUUACUUGUCGGGUUUUACAGUGUGAUAGGAAAUUAAACAUAAGGCAUUAUGUGGAAGGAUUUUAAAAAUACACUACAGAGGAACUUGACCUGUGAGCUAUUGUUAUAUAUAUAUACACAUUUGUAUAUGAAUUUGAAUUUGUGUACUUCACACAUUUCCUUAUGACGAUGAUGUACAAAUAGCAUCUCUAUGAACAUCUAAACACAUGCAUUGUUAAUCAGUCACUUGAUCAGUGUCUGUGAGGAUCAUUGUGUGUCAGCUUACAUCAGUAAAUGAAGGAGAUCCUCUGUGCUGGCUUUUGGAUAUAGAGAAAUACAUCAGGCUGUCUACACUGACAAUGGUUUCCUCUCUUCUUAAAAGUUUUAUAAGAGCACUGACUAUCAUCUCUGUUAUAUCUGUUACUAACAUCAGCAGCACCAAUACAACAGUCACACCAGAGACGAGCUCAGCUGGAGAGUUAACUGCAGUAGUGAGAGCUUUAAGAUGGAUAAGCAAAGCAGGCUUAAAGAAGGUUUUAAUAUGUUCAUGUGGGAGUGAAAGAGAAUAAAGCAUCAAAUAAAUUGGCGAAACAAGCUGAAUAGAAAUGGAAG